rnacentral:lncRNA from 1 species
GAAUUGGACUAUGAUGUGGAUGAAUCACUGAAAUACUAGAUAGCUUUUUAAAAUAUGUACCUGCAAUAAAAGAUUUAACGUUUCUAGCUACUGGAAAGGGCCUCAGCCUUUGGCAUUGGACAUUUGAAGUUCAUCUGAGAAUGCAAGGUUUUCUAUGCACACAGUCACACUCUUGUGUCUUCCAAAACAUGAAGAGUGUAGCUUGAAGCGUGAACACUAAGUCCUGAAGUUUGGGUGUGGCUCUGUAUCAGGAAUAAUGUUACUCAGAUUCUUACUCUGGCAAAACACUUCAAUGAAAUCAUCUUUACUCUUCUGCAACUCACUUCCCCUGGGAUUGAUGAUGUCCUCUGGAUGA